rnacentral:lncRNA from 1 species
CACAAAACUUAUUGGACUUGGGCUCCUAAUUUGUAUACAGAAUAAGGGUUUUUUUUUUUUGUUUAGGUAUAUGUAUACUCGCAGCCGAGAAAAGUCGAGGGGAGUAGACAAAAAAUUCAUAAACACAGAGAAAGAAAACGGCAGGUUGAAGGGAGUGCCGAGGGCUGAAUUUAUAUUAUUGGAUACACGCACAAAAACGGAGGCUUAACUGUAGACCUGAGACGGCAGAAAAAAAACGGCUAGAAUAAAUUCUGUAUAUAUUCACACGGAAAGCCGAAAUCAGAUUGAAGCCGGCGAAUUGAGUAGCGUAAUUAAUAAAUUCGGUCAGUUGCUGGAGGAGUAAUUGUUGAGCUGAAAGCUGAUUUGGAUACAUAUAAAAUUCGCACUGAAAGUCGAAGCAGCUGAAGGAAUUGGAAUUGGACAAAAGGCGGCUGGAAUUAAAGAAAUUGAAGUGCUGAAUUGUGUAUAUCAUAUACAAAACAAUUUGAGAAGUCAGCGGCUGGAAUUGAAAUACAAAAGUGGGCAGCUGAGUUGGAAGAUUAUAUAAAUAUUCACGCACAGAAUUGGAGACGGACAGAAG